UACGUAGGUCCCGAGCGUUGUCCGGAUUUAUUGGGCGUAAAGCGAGCGCAGGUGGUUUAUUAAGUCUGGUGUAAAAGGCAGUGGCUCAACCAUUGUAUGCAUUGGAAACUGGUAGACUUGAGUGCAGGAGAAGAGAGUGGAAUCCCAUGUGUAGCGGUGAAAUGCGUAGAUAUUAGGAGGAACACCAGUGGCGAAGGCGGCCUGCUGGACGGUAACUGACGCUGAGGCUCGAAAGCGUGGGGAGCAAACAGG
rnacentral:rRNA from 1 species